rnacentral:lncRNA from 1 species
GAUGAUGAAGCAUUGGAGAUCUCUGAUGAUGAUAUAGAAGAUUGGUAGACUAAUUGUUCAGUUUGCAGACCUUCCUAUUAGACAGUUAUUCGCUCUUUUUAUCUCCAGUGUUGAUUAAGGCUGAAGCUUUUCUCUUAGGGAAUGGGAAGUUUUUUGUGAAUAUAGGAGUUUUUUGUAAUUGGUGCUCUCAGAUGUUGAUGUAGUCAUUGGUUUGUAAUUGGCUG